AGCUGAGAUGCCGCCGGCACUAGGAGCCCUGGUCCCAAGUGCCUGGGGCAGGGCAUCUCCUUGCAGCCCCUGAUGGGGAAGCGAACCGAGACUAAGCACAAAGGAUUAAAACAAAGAGCUGGAGAGUGAAGAAGAUGGUGGAAAAAGGGAAAGAGCUGAAUGUCUUGUUUUUCCUGAGAAAAUGGAGCUGCCUCCUCUUGGUGGCAACCCCUGGCCUGAGGAACAGUUGAGCCACUUCACUUCAGGGUCUGCUCUCCUCCUGCCUUCUCUCCCCUCC